rnacentral:tRNA from 1 species
GCCGAGAUGGUGAAAUUGGUAGACACGACAGACUUAAAAUCUGUUGCUGUUUUAAAGCAGCGUGCCGGUUCAAGUCCGGCUCUCGGCACCA